GCGGUACCGCCGCUGGGAAAUGUAGUGUUCGGGAGGAUCCGUUUAUCCCGUGAUGUCGAACUGCGUCCAAGUCCAUCUUGAAUGGGGCCAUUUACCCGUAGAGGGUGCCAGGCCCGUAGUGACCGGUACGCGUUUCGGGAGGAUCUCUCCUU
rnacentral:misc_RNA from 1 species